CACCACUUAUCCAGUUUGAAUAAGUAAAGAUACCUCAUAGAUAAAUAAAAAACCACUAUCGUUUGGACUUCAAAAUUGAUACAUUAUAUAUUGCUAUUAUCAUUAAAGUUAAAUUCUUGUUGGUGAAAUCUAUUUUAAGUAGAUGUUUAAUGAUUUAAGGUUUAUGUUUGCAGAGAGGACAGGAAUAUUUUGUUGAGAUUGCACUGCCUACAAGAUCAACAUAGCUUUUAUUUUGAUUUCCUGCUCGAGUAAACAACACAAGAAGGUGCAGAACCUUUGACAAAAUGGACUUUAAAUCAGGUUUAAAUUCAAUUCUGUGGAUUUUCAUUUUACCAAACAUUUACGAUGCACGUGACGAGGAUCCUGGAGGUAUUGACAUUGGAUACAGCUGUAAAUACGACGCAGAAUGCAAGAAAGGAAACGAAUGAUUGUUUUCAAAAUGUAACCAGGCAUUGAAUGUCUGUAUAUGCACAAUAAAUCAUUUAGGAGAAGAUAAAUGUAUGCCCGACAGCGGUAAAUAUGAAGGCUUUUGCAGACCGAGAAGCCUUUAUUCUAAACCAGGAUUUUGUACACUAGAAUGUUCACCUAAAAGUAAAA